UACGGAGGGUGCAAACGUUGCUCGGAAUCAUUGGGCGUAAAGCGCGCGUAGGCGGUCCAGCAAGUCGGGUGUGAAAGCCCUCGGCUUAACCGAGGAAGUGCAUUCGAAACUACUGGACUUGAGUACUGAAGAGGAUCGCGGAAUUCCCGGUGUAGAGGUGAAAUUCGUAGAUAUCGGGAGGAACACCAGUGGCGAAGGCGGCGAUCUGGGCAGAUACUGACGCUGAGGUGCGAAAAGCGUGGGGAGCAAACAGGG
rnacentral:rRNA from 1 species